GCCCAGACUCCUACGGGAGGCAGCAGUGGGGAAUAUUGCACAAUGGGGGAAACCUUGAUGCAGCGACGCCGCGUGAGUGAAGAAGUAUUUCGGUAUGUAAAGCUCUAUCAGCAGGGAAGAUAAUGACGGUACCUGACUAAGAGGCCCCGGCUAACUACGUGCCAGCAGCCGCGGUAAUACGUAGGGGGCAAGCGUUAUCCGGAAUUACUGGGUGUAAAGGGAGCGUAGACGGUGAAGUAAGUCUGGAGUGAAAGGCGGGGGCCCAACCCCCGGACUGCUCUGGAAACUAUUUGACUGGAGUGCAGGAGAGGUAAGCGGAAUUCCUAGUGUAGCGGUGAAAUGCGUAGAUAUUAGGAGGAACACCAGUGGCGAAGGCGGCUUACUGGACUGUAACUGACGUUGAGGCUCGAAAGCGUGGGGAGCAAACAGGAUUAGAUACCCGAGUA
rnacentral:rRNA from 1 species